rnacentral:rRNA from 1 species
AGUGAACGCUGGCGGUAGGCCUAACACAUGCAAGUCGAACGGCAGCACAGUAAGAGCUUGCUCUUACGGGUGGCGAGUGGCGGACGGGUGAGGAAUACAUCGGAAUCUACUUUUUCGUGGGGGAUAACGUAGGGAAACUUACGCUAAUACCGCAUACGACCUACGGGUGAAAGCAGGGGAUCUUCGGACCUUGCGCGAUUGAAUGAGCCGAUGUCGGAUUAGCUAGUUGGCGGGGUAAAGGCCCACCAAGGCGACGAUCCGUAGCUGGUCUGAGAGGAUGAUCAGCCACACUGGAACUGAGACACGGUUCAGGCUCCUACGGGAGGCAGCAGUGGGGAAUAUUGGACAAUGGGCGCAAGCCUGAUCCAGCCAUACCGCGUGGGUGAAGAAGGCCUUCGGGUUGUAAAGCCCUUUUGUUGGGAAAGAAAAGCAGCAGGUUAAUACCCCGCUGUUCUGACGGUACCCAAAGAAUAAGCACCGGCUAACUUCGUG